rnacentral:rRNA from 1 species
GGGGGAUAUUGCACAAUGGAGGAAACUCUGAUGCAGCGACGCCGCGUGAGGGAAGAAGGUUUUCGGAUUGUAAACCUCUGUCUUCGGGGACGAAACAAAUGACGGUACUCGAGGAGGAAGCCACGGCUAACUACGUGCCAGCAGCCGCGGUAAUACGUAGGUGGCAAGCGUUGUCCGGAAUUACUGGGUGUAAAGGGAGCGCAGGCGGAACUGCAAGUUGGGUGUUUAAUCUACGGGCUCAACCCGUAUCAGCAUUCAAAACUGUGGUUCUUGAGUAAUGCAGAGGUAGGCGGAAUUCCCGGUGUAGCGGUGGAAUGCGUAGAUAUCGGGAGGAACACCAGUGGCGAAGGCGGCUUUCUGGACUGUAACUGACGCUGAGGCAUGAAAGCGUGGGGAGCAAAC